GUUUCUCGCAUAAUUUUACGGGAAGCACCGAUAAAAAUGCCAAGUGCGUCGUUCACAUCGUCGCGCAAUUACGUGCGAAGAUCCCGAAGAAAAGGUGCAAACAGGAUUCCGCUGCCUUCGAGAACCACCUCGGCCGAGCCAUGCGAUUUGCCAUGUUCAGCAUCAAAUCAGAUACCACCUGGUGGUGGAGUUGGCGGAGGAGGAGGAGGAGGAGGUGGAGGUGGGGGUGGAAGCGGUGGAAGAGGAUCCUCACCUAGUGUUUCUGGUGUUGCAGCACCGUCACCUUCCCCAUCGCAUUCACAUUCAUCUCCAUACGAUUUAAGACGUAAAAGUCCACCUCAUCCAGAUCCUGCGCCUGGUACCAGUUCUGCUCUACCUCCUUCGGGGGGUAGUAGUAUAGGAGCCACUCUUGGUUCUUCCUCUUUACCAGCAAGAAAACGGCCCAGACGGACGUGUUCAUUAUCCACAGAUGGUACAAAUACAAACACUGCAGCACAUUACCUUCAGUAUGAGUUACCAGACGAAGUGCUGCUUACUAUAUUUAAUUAUCUAAUGGAACAGGAUCUUUGUAGAGUUUCACAGGUUUGCAAACGUUUUCAAACAAUUGCAAACGACACUGAACUGUGGAAGUCUUUGUAUCAGCAAGUUUACGAAUACGACUUACCACUAUUCAAUCCUGCACCUUGUAAAUUUGAAUUCGUAUCCCCGGACGAAUCAGACUAUCCAAAUCCAUGGAAAGAAAGCUUUAGACAAUUAUAUAGGGGAGUACACGUUAGGCCAGGAUUUCAGGAUUUGAAGUUCAAAGGUCGUAAUUUGCCAUACUUUAAUACAGUUCAGGGAGCACUAGAUUACGUAGAUGAAUAUAGAAGCAAUAGCGGUUCCUCGUCAAAUAAUAGCACAACUACAAGCGGUCAAGGAAAUUGUUGUGGAAACAAUUCUCAUACAGCUGAAGAAGCACCUCAACAUUUAGUUUUCUUACACGCUGGAAUUUAUAGAGGCGAAUUUCUCGUAAUUGAUAGCGACGUUGCAUUAAUCGGAGCAGCGCCCGGAAACGUGGCAGAAUCUGUUAUAUUGGAACGAGAAAGCGAAUCUACAGUUAUGUUUGUAGAAGGAGCGAAACGAGCUUAUGCCGGCCAUCUUACAUUAAAAUUUACCCCAGACGUUACCAGUACAGUACCGCAUCAUAAACAUUAUUGUUUAGAAGUUGGCGAAAACUGUAGUCCCACUGUCGAUCAUUGUAUUAUUAGGAGUUCAAGUGUCGUUGGAGCAGCUGUUUGCGUGUCGGGUGUUGGAGCGAAUCCUGUAGUAAAGAACUGUGACAUAUCGGAUUGCGAAAACGUUGGCCUUUAUGUCACCGAUUAUGCACAAGGAACCUACGAGGACAAUGAAAUCUCGAGAAACGCGUUAGCCGGGAUUUGGGUAAAAAAUUAUGCGAAUCCGAUAAUGCGAAGGAAUCAUAUUCAUCACGGAAGGGAUGUUGGAAUCUUCACGUUUGACAAUGGUCUUGGUUACUUUGAGGCUAAUGAUAUUCAUAAUAAUCGAAUAGCAGGUUUCGAAGUAAAAGCUGGUGCUAAUCCAACGGUUGUACAUUGUGAAAUACACCACGGUCAGACCGGUGGUAUUUAUGUACAUGAAAACGGUUUAGGGCAAUUUAUCGACAACAAAAUUCAUUCGAAUAAUUUUGCUGGCGUUUGGAUCACUUCGAAUUCAAAUCCAACUAUUCGUAGAAACGAAAUUUACAAUGGUCAUCAAGGCGGAGUAUAUAUAUUCGGAGAAGGAAGAGGCUUAAUCGAACAUAAUAACAUUUAUGGUAAUGCCUUGGCCGGCAUACAAAUAAGAACAAAUUCAGACCCUAUUGUUAGACACAAUAAAAUACAUCAUGGUCAACAUGGUGGUAUUUAUGUACACGAGAAGGGGCAAGGAUUAAUUGAAGAGAACGAAGUAUAUGCCAAUACGUUAGCAGGUGUUUGGAUAACAACCGGAUCGACGCCGGUACUAAGAAGAAAUCGUAUUCAUAGUGGAAAACAAGUCGGAGUUUAUUUUUAUGAUAAUGGACAUGGAAAACUAGAAGACAAUGAUAUUUUCAAUCAUUUGUAUUCAGGAGUACAAAUAAGAACUGGAAGCAAUCCGGUAAUACGUGGGAAUAAAAUCUGGGGUGGACAAAAUGGUGGUGUACUUGUGUAUAAUAGUGGACUAGGUUUACUUGAACAAAAUGAAAUUUUUGAUAAUGCAAUGGCAGGAGUUUGGAUUAAAACUGAUAGUAAUCCAACGUUAAAAAGAAACAAGAUAUUCGAUGGGCGGGACGGUGGGAUUUGUAUAUUUAAUGGUGGCAAAGGUGUUCUCGAAGAAAACGAUAUAUUUCGUAACGCGCAAGCAGGCGUGCUUAUAUCCACACAGUCUCAUCCUGUAUUGAGGAGGAACCGAAUUUUCGAUGGAUUAGCAGCUGGUGUUGAAAUAACAAACAAUGCAACGGCUACGUUGGAAUUUAAUCAAAUUUUCAAUAAUAGAUUCGGUGGAUUGUGUUUAGCGAGCGGAGUUCAACCAACAACUAGAGGCAAUAAAAUAUUUAAUAAUCAAGAUGCAGUUGAAAAAGCUGUUGGAAAUGGCCAAUGUUUGUACAAAAUAUCGUCGUACACCUCUUUCCCUAUGCACGAUUUCUAUCGUUGUCAAACAUGUAAUACGACAGAUCGUAAUGCAAUUUGUGUUAAUUGCAUAAAAACCUGUCAUGCUGGACACGAUGUAGAAUUCAUUAGACACGAUCGAUUCUUCUGUGACUGUGGUGCUGGAACAUUAAGUAAUCAGUGUCAACUUCAAGGUGAACCUACACAAGAUACAGACACAUUGUAUGAUAGUGCAGCACCAAUGGAGUCACAUACACUUAUGGUCAACUAGGAACUAACCUAAACUAAAUAAAACAAUCAAAUGACAUUGAAUCUGUAAGUCCAACAUAUUGCAAACAAAAAAUAAUUUGUUGCUGAGUUCUUUAUUAUGAUAUUUGUUCCUUCGUGUUCCCCAUUGUAUUUGUUAAUUUGUAAAGAUAUCGUUAUUGUUAACGUGUUCCAAUUUACGAUAAUUUCAUCAUUAUUAUUAUUAUUAUUAUUAUUAUUAUUAUUACCAUUAUCAUUAUCAUUAUCGUUACUGUCAUUCGAAUCAUCGAAUUAUAUUGUCAUCAUUAUCAUCAUCAUUGUCAUUCUCAUAGAGAUAGUAUAUUUUUUAUUAGUAAAUUAGUACACUAUAUUAAUGUACAUCUUGAUACAAAUGAUACAUUAUUAGAUAUUUUUUUCCUUUCCUUUUUGUUCUUUGUUGAAAGUGAUUUCAUAAGAUCAACCUUCUGUUCCCCUUAGAUUAUGUAAUAAAGAACUCCGCAACAAAAAGUAAACAAUUGAUGAAAGCAAAAGAGCAAGUGACAAUGGAUUUCUUACAUGAACAAAUCUUAAUAGGUAACACCAAAUUUAUUUAAACAUGUAAUAAAAGAAAACACGCGGUUAAUCGUUAAUCGACUGGAAACACGUAACAGACUUCCCAUGUGACUUUUCAUUAAGUUUCUUUAAAUGUUAACUUCGUAUAUAAAAAAGGAAGUGCAGUGAAUAUGUGUAAAGAAAUGGAAGUAAAGAUGUGUAUAUGUCGGUAUUAAAAACAAGUCCGUGAUCUUACGACAAGUUAAAAGAAAGGACUCAUUAAACAAGGAAAACAAUUUAUGCAAUGCAGGAGCAUUAAUUAAAAAAUAACUCUCACUAAGCUCACGAUUAAAAAAAACAUAGUGUUGCUAAUGUAAAUUGUGUAUAAUUCGUAUCGUUAAUAAACGCGAACGAACUGCAACACUAAAUGAAUGGGGCUGUUUGCUACUCAGACAGAAGUACGUCGACAUCAUGUAAAAUGUGAGAUAUAUUACAGAAAUUUUACAAUCACAAUUAAAUGAAACUUCAUAUACCAGUGAGUUAAGACAUAAAAGUAUGAAGUGAAUAUUUGUGUAUUCUCAUACUGAUGGAAUUGUAGGUAACCAAAACAGCUAGCUUCCAGGCAAGUGCGACUUUAUAAUAUCUGUGGUACAAAUUUGAAAGGAUGGAAGACAAGCCUGUGAAACCGAAGAUCCCUAAAUAACAGACUGAAACGGAUGUCUAAAAAAUGUGAUAUGUAAAAUUCACAACUCGAAUAAUCAAAAUGGAACAACCAUCUAUACAAUUCUAAGAAAAUUUCUUUUCGAUUUCCGUUGCAUCGCUGCAGUAUCGUGAACAUAACUAGAAAAUGGAAAAGCGAUAGUUACAAAUUUAUCCAUAAAAAUUUUCUUCUCUAACAGAAAAUGAUAAUCGUAUGUGAUUUUUCUCUUCGAAUCUCGGCGCAUCGGUGAAAAAUAUGUAGGCAAGGGAAUCAAGGUGUAUCGUGCCUGCAAAAAGGUAUACGACGGAUAUGCUUGUUCUCGGAUGGAAAAAACUUUACGAUUAAGACUAUUUAUUAGAAUUGUAAAUACCAUAUAAACAGCCAGAAAUGAUUGAAAGAUUUUUUGAAAAUAGUUCCCUCGUUUCGUAACACGAAGACAGGUUUACAUACCAUGGCCUUAAAAGAAAAAAAAAAUAAACGUACACCUAAUGCUUUUAAGUAUAAAUACAUACAUGCGGUAUCUAACAGAUAUGCUGUUACAGUUAUAUGUGUAAUAGAUAUGGGAAUUUUUGAUGGAGCUCAAAAUAAUUAAUACAUUCGGGAAAUUCUGGAUUCAUUGAAACUGAAACUGGAAGAUUAACCCUUUCGCUGUGAUGUAAAUGAAUGAUUGAAAAAUAAAGAUGAAAACAGGGAAUAGAAGCAUUAGGUUACAAAAAUGAUACCGAGUAUUCUUAGCAGUCGGUAUUGUAGUGCGUCGGACUAAUCGCGGACUAUUUCUACUGUGACUGACUAAUCGUAGGUAUUACUACUGUGCCAGUCACAUGUCGUUCAAUAAUUAUGAUUUCUCAAUAAUAAAUUAUCUUCUCUGUUCCAACUUUUACAGACAUAUAAAAUAGAUACUCCUUUAUUAUCUGUACUAGAAUUAUGUUAAAAGAUGUAAUAAUUUUUCUUUUAUUAUUUAAGGAAGUUGAAAGUUUCAUAGUAAGUUGCAAGUAAAUUUCUUGGCCCAUUAAUUAUGAAUUCUAGAUAUAACUCCACCAAAUAAAAAUAUCUCCUCUAUUCUUGAUUUUUCAUGAUAUAUGUGUACAUUACAUAUAGCGAAAGGGUUGAAGUAGUAAAAUUAGGAACUGGAUUUAGUUACGAAUUUCGCGGGUGUGAAAGCACAGCCUUACAUUGUAUUUUCGUACAUUACAAGAAGAUACAUGGAAAUAAUUGUCGUUUUUGUAUAUUGAGGUCUACUUUAACCACUGAACGAUCCAAAGCAUUUAGUGCUUCCGAACCGAUAAUGAACUUGUAUUCCUUGAUUCAAAAGAGAUCACGUUCCACUGUGUGUUUACUUAUAAUAGUGUCUUAAGUAUGAGGAAUAAUUAUGCGAUCGAUUCGUGAUUCAUAAUUAAAGAAAAGAAGUAAUGACACGAAGAAAAAUGCGAAGGAAGAGAACAUCUAUUUUUCACGAGACGUCGUGAAAAUGUACAAUAAGCUUAAAGAAAAAAUUGUAAAUAUAUCUCACUUAGAUACUGUUUGAGCGUGAUUAAACGCGAAUAAUUCAAGGAACUGUACUCCUUUUUUUCUAAGUAACAACGUUUCAACACAGAUUCGUGUGUUUAAUUAAACUCGAUUUUCAACGCUUUAGAUUAUAAAUAUAUAUAUAAUAUAUGUAUGUAAUAAGGGAUAUAAAGGAAGCGAGAAACGGUGAAAAAGUAAAUUCGAAGGCGACGAUUAACGAGAAUAAAGACAAAACAAAACAAAAAAAAAAGAUCUACGAAUCACUCGAUCGAGAGACUUUUUUCUAUGAAUAAAUCGAACUAAUUUUUUUCACAUAAUUCGCGUUAUAAACUAGGUGUAAGAUGUCUUUAAGAUAUAAUACGGAUAUUGAGACACCACACGAAACAGAAGCAAUUCAAUCUUGCACGAUUAAUGAGAUCAGCUUCUAAUAAGGGAAAUAAGAUGAACUCCGCGUAGUGCCAAUGCAUUCUGAGCGGAAUAUAUUGUAACACGAUUAAGUAUUACACGUUCGAUUAUUCUUUACGUUUUAUUUUUACGAAAUAGAGAAAAUAAUAAAAAAAAAAAAAAAUUAAUACGAGAGAAAGAAAGACCGGUGCUAAUACAUGUUAUAUUCAUUCAUUCGCGGAACACACAGGGAUGUUUUAAAAGGGAAACAUUGUGUCGAAGUGUUUUUCUGGGAUUUUCGUGAAAAUUUGGAGGGUUAUUGAAUAUUUAAUGUUCUAAUUUUCUAUUCUAUAUUUUAAUUUCCCAAUAAUCUAAAUUUCUAAUUUUAAAUAUUCCACCUUUACAAAUAUACUCCAUAAUCUCUGAAAUAGAAUUUUCCUUGAAAUUCAAGAAAAACAAUUCGCUUAGUUUCCUUGUAAAUUGUAGAAAAACGUCUACACAGGAAUUGAAAAUGAAUCUUAUUUCAUUUAAGUUUUCCCGGUGCACAAAAGGAGAAUGUUAUGAUUUAACAUAAAGAAAAGAAUACAAAAUAAAUCAAUGGCCUAUAGGUGUAUAGGAAGAAUUUUUUUUUUAGGGCGAAACUGACAGACUGUGUAUAGAGUGUAGACGUAAAUUUAGCCGAAGAAAAACAAACAGUGCAGUUGUGAAUGCAAAUGCGACGAGCAAAGAUACGAAACGACAAGUGAAGACUAUGAUACAGCGUUCGUUGUACGAUCAUUUUUUUAAGAUAUAAACUCGCACCUGCACUUGAUUUUCUUCAUUCUUUUCUUCUGCGUUUAUAUGAUUAAGGUAACGGGCCCAGUGGUUGGAUGAUUAUGACUGAUUGAUCAAGAGCGUUUAUAAUUAAAAGGACUGUUCAAACAUGUACAUGCUUCACCACUGGACCCGAUACCUUUUAUUAAUGUUCGCGCGUCGACAACUGUAUUAUUAAUAUGUAUAAUAGAACCUUAGUUAGUAAGCCGAUAUACAGAUAUUAAUUCGUUUUAUCCAAGGCGAUGCAGCCAAGUUUAUUUUUACUAAAACCCUGGGUAAUAUCAGCGAAUAAGAUCAUCCUCGAAUGCAAAGUCUUCAGCAGACUUUUACUGAUAAUUAUUAGAUCGUUCCAUAAGUUUUUAUUUACAAUAUAUUUGGUAAAUUUUCAAAACUCAUACAACAUAGAACGGUCAAUUUUCAAAUUUAUCUAAUUAAAAAGAAAUAUAUUUUUACAGUAUUUAUUUGCAAUCUAUUUUACAGGUUUUAUUUUCUUUAUUUAUAAAAUAGAAUAUGAUGAACUUUUGGAACGACCUAAUAUUUAUCUCUGAACUCUUCAACAAUUCCUGAUACCAAUUAUCUCUAUCUUCUUCUAUGUUGCAAAAGUGUUCAUAAACAAUAUUUUUGUUAAUUCUACCAAGAUCGUAGACGCUGGGAAAAGGGAAAUGUAAAAUGCUUCCUCGAGGAUUUCCAUUCAGAAACCGUGUGUCUGAUCCAACACUGUAUCGUUCUACUGGCUCAACGCGACAUCUAAUCGCAAAGAUAAAAGAAAAGAGAGAAAAAAAAGUAAAUUGACUGUAUCACCUUGCCCACGCCUGUAUUAUAAUGAAACGCACGAAUUACCAUGUGUCAUAUAAAUAUAAAUAUAUAAGAAAUAUAUAAAUAUUAUAUAUAUAUACAAAAAUCUAUAUAUAUAUAUAUAUAUAAAUAAAUAACAAUAAUGAUAAUAAUUAAGUACCUUACACAAUGUAAGCAGUAUCCAAGAAAUCCGAACUAGUUGCACCAAGUGCCAUAGUCCAUAGGUCACAGUACGUUUAAACAUAGAAAAGCGGUUGCUAAGGGGAUGAAAGGAAAUGGAGGAAAAAAAAACAUUAUGAAAAAAGCAGGUCGAACACUUGGUUGAACCAGUGCUAAGUCGUGUUCUCAUUGCUUAUUGUUAAGGCAAACGAACGCGAAUACGAAGUGGCAUGCGGUGAUCAACUAAAGAAAAAAAAAAAAAAAGACAGAAAGAAA